UACGGAGGGUGCAAACGUUGUCCGGAAUCACUGGGCGUAAAGCGCAUGUAGGUGGUUUGGUAAGUGGGUGAUUAAAGACCGAUGCUUAACAUCGGGACUGUUGCCUAUACUGCCUGACUUGAGUAUGACAGGGGUAAGCGGAACUUUAGGUGUAGGAGUGAAAUCCGUAGAUAUCUAAAGGAACACCAAUGGCGAAGGCAGCUUACUGGGUCUUUACUGACACUGAGAUGCGAAAGCGUGGGGAGCGAACGGG
rnacentral:rRNA from 1 species